rnacentral:tRNA from 1 species
GGAGAGAUGGCCGAGUGGUUUAAGGCAGCGGUCUUGAAAACCGCCGUGGGUGAAAGCUCACCGUGGGUUCGAAUCCCACUCUCUCCGCCA